AAGGAUUUAAGUUAAAUCAAAUAAACCCGUAACCUUCAAAGUUACAAAUAGAAAAGUCUAAGCCUUA
rnacentral:tRNA from 1 species